AGUGAACACUGGAUGAGUCCAUGGUGGGGACUGAGUCCUCCCAGUCCCGACUUCAGAAUAGCCCUGGCCAGGAAUCAGGCCACCUCAGCACUUUUGUUGCCAUUGUUCUUCAUGUCCUAAGCCCUGCCCUCCUCUCCACUUGCUCAAGCCUGCUUAUGGGGAGGACUGAAUGCCUCGCCCCUGUCAACCACAGCCAGUGCUAUGGCUGGAGGGACCAGAAGGAAGCCUGUUCAGUCCAAGGAAGGAGAGGCCACCACGGACCCACCCUGGUGCUCUACAGCUGCUACUUUUGCAGUUGUGCCAGACCUGGCUGAGGAAUGUCCCCAGGACCGCCCCCCUCCAUCCCUCCGGCCCCACCCAGAGGGACUGCAGAAGGAAGCUGCUCCUAUGUGCCCUGCUACCUCACACAUGCUGUUCCAUGGGUCUGCCUUCCACCAGGAUUAAAAAUCUAUGCACCCCCAACACCAGGAGAAAGGUUCUUGGUGCAUUCAUGUCCCUGUGCAGCAAGUGACAGAUGCUCAACAAGGACCCAAGCAGUAUCUGUUUUGGAGAAGUCCCACCCCACGGAUCCCAAACACAACCUGGAAGACAUUAGGGCAAGCUGGGCUAUGCGGCUUUACCAAGCAGCCCUUGACUCUGGAAGUUGCUUUCUUGCUCAGGAGGUUUCCAGUACACCAAGAUCAAGGUCCUCAAAUCCUAAGAACAGAAAAGUCAUUCCCACCUUGACAAGAUGUCACAGGCGUCAGCAAACUAUGCUGAUGGAAGAAUGCUCAGGGUUGGCUCCAAAGAGAUGGAAAACGACUGGCAGCAGUAAAGGAAACUUGUCACUUAAUGUUCUUCAAGCCAGG
rnacentral:lncRNA from 1 species